CUGACCUCGGAUCAAACGCGAAUACCCGCUGAACUUAGGCAUAUCACUAA
rnacentral:rRNA from 1 species